AUUCGGCUAAUCAAUGUCUUUUAAGUUUCUCCUCAGAAACGGUGGCCAAUCAUCAUCUAUACAAAUCCAUGACAGGAUGAAAUGAGUUCAUGUGGAUCUGGGUGGCUCAAAGGAUGGACGACAGCAGAUGGAGUCCUUUGUACUCUCUGUGAUUUUCCUGUGUCUAAGGACAGGAGAUGGCAUAAGCAGAUAAAAGGUGCAGAGUUGUAUUAGAAGUCCACACAUCCCAUGAAAGGCAUGGAAAAAUAGAAAGUUAUUCAUCAGAUUGCAAUGGACCUCUUAUAUAGAGGAAAUUGAGACUUCAGUAUGUUGGAUUACUUCAGCAGGAUCCAGUAGGAGAUUUUCAUUUGUAUUCAAAGGCUGCUUCAAGAUUCCCCCUAAAGAAAGGUCAUGUCACGUCACUUCUCUGUUUAAAAACUUAAUGGAUUCUCCCCUCUCUCAAAGACAUCCCAAAUCAUCACUCUUUCAUUCAAGAACCAUCUCUUCGGUGGGAAAAUCAUUCUAUGUGCGUUUGGCAGGGUUGUCUGCAUACGCCCACAGCAGUGUCCAUAUGACCCAGGCCUGGCCAAAAAGAGUGCCACCUCACACCUCAUUGACUGUUGAGCUUGUUGUGAAAAGGGCAAGUGACUGAAGUUAAGAGCAGAGGAAGAAUAGAGGGGUAGUAUUUGCUUUACCUACUUAAAAAAGCAC
rnacentral:lncRNA from 1 species